AAGAGACAGCAGUAGCCGCGGUAAUACGUAGGUCCCGAGCGUUGUUCGGAUUUAUUGGGCGUAAAGCGAGCGCAGGCGGUUUGAUAAGUCUGAAGUUAAGGGCUGUGGCUCAACCAUAGUUCGCUUUGGAAACUGUCAAACUUGAGUGCAGAAGGGGAGAGUGGAAUUCCAUGUGUAGCGGUGAAAUGCGUAGAUAUAUGGAGGAACACCGGUGGCGAAAGCGGCUCUCUGGUCUGUAACUGACGCUGAGGCUCGAAAGCGUGGGGAGCGAACAGGAUUAGAUACCCGAGUAGUCCCUGUCUCUUAUACC
rnacentral:rRNA from 1 species